rnacentral:tRNA from 1 species
GGGGGCAUAGCUCAGCUGGUAGAGCGCCUGCUUUGCACGCAGGAGGUCAGCGGUUCGAGUCCGCUUGUCUCCA